GACUCGAAAUGGUUCCAGAAGAGUUCGCUGAUUCGAGGGCAGCGGGAGUUUCUUGCUUCUCGACUUGUUGCCAGGCUUUUCCAGGGACAAAUUCAGCCGCAUUAGGGUUCAUUAUACUGGGCCGGCCGCUUCUGCCUGUGGUGUUGCUCGGGUACUUGUGCUUCCUUCUGAAUGAAUGGCCGGUCCUGUAGUACAAAGUCGAUCGAGGGCCACAAGGGACUCGAGUAUCUACUGAUUGAUGAGGAGGGAUCACCACAUGCUGAGGUGGAUUGGGAACCAUCAUAUCAUACAACCCCGCAACUACAACCGAGUUAUAUGGAUGGGGCACGGAUAAUAGAGAGCUCGGAUUGAAAGGAGGA
rnacentral:misc_RNA from 1 species